GACGAACGCUGGCGGCGUGCUUAACACAUGCAAGUCGAACGAUGAAGCUGGAGCUUGCUCCGGUGGAUUAGUGGCGAACGGGUGAGUAACACGUGAGCAAUCUGCCCUUGACUCUGGGAUAACUGCGGGAAACUGUAGCUAAUACCGGAUACUUUCACUGGAAGGCAUCUUCUGGUGAAGAAAGAAUUUCGGUCAAGGAUGAGCUCGCGGCCUAUCAGCUUGUUGGUGAGGUAACGGCUCACCAAGGCGACGACGGGUAGCCGGCCGGAGAGGGUGACCGGCCACACUGGGACUGAGACACGGCACAGACUCCUACGGGAGGCAGCAGUGGGGAAUAUUGCACAAUGGGCGCAAGCCUGAUGCAGCAACGCCGCGUGAGGGAUGAAGGCCUUCGGGUUGUAAACCUCUUUUAGCAGGGAAGAAGCGAAAGUGACGGUACCUGCAGAAAAAGCACCGGCUAACUACGUGCCAGCCGCCGCGGUAA
rnacentral:rRNA from 1 species